rnacentral:snRNA from 1 species
AAAUGUCCUCUUUCAGAAUUUGUCCAGUAGGUUUUCUCAAGGAGAAAGCCCCC